UAGAAGAUAGUAUAGAGGGAGUACGAAGAGUUUUGGGGUCUUAAAUGCAGGUUCGAAUCCUGUUCUUCUAG
rnacentral:tRNA from 1 species